rnacentral:snoRNA from 1 species
ACCCUCUACAAAGGCAUGUCUGUGGUUCCUAUCCUUUGGACAUAAAAACUGAGCCAAAGAGAAUGUGGGCUUGGAGAAGUCUGGAGCCGGCUUGCUCCCCACAGGCUCAAGAUAACCCCUUUCCCUCACAG